rnacentral:rRNA from 1 species
AGUAUAGUGGCGCACGGGUGAGUAACACGUGGAUGAUCUACCUCCUUGUGGGGAAUAACCCUGGGAAACCGGGGCUAAUACCGCAUACGUUCGAGAGAAGAAAGCCGAAAGGCGCAGGGAGAGGAGUCCGCGGUCGAUUAGCUAGUUGGCAGGGUAAUGGCCUACCAAGGCGACGAUCGAUAGCCGGCCUGAGAGGGCACACGGCCACACUGGCACUGAAACACGGGCCAG